UAUCAAACAGUUGUCUGAAAUUUGGCACUUAAGGAAUCGUCACCAGUUGCAUUGAUAUUGUGACAUUUCUAAGUGUCUAUUAUCAGAGAUUGGUUAUCAUCU
rnacentral:pre_miRNA from 1 species